GACGAACGCUGGCGGCGUGCUUAACACAUGCAAGUCGAACGGAAAGGCCCUGCUUUUGUGGGGUGCUCGAGUGGCGAACGGGUGAGUAACACGUGAGUAACCUGCCCUUGACUUUGGGAUAACUUCAGGAAACUGGGGCUAAUACCGGAUAGGAGCUCCUGCUGCAUGGUGGGGGUUGGAAAGUUUCGGCGGUUGGGGAUGGACUCGCGGCUUAUCAGCUUGUUGGUGGGGUAGUGGCUUACCAAGGCUUUGACGGGUAGCCGGCCUGAGAGGGUGACCGGCCACAUUGGGACUGAGAUACGGCCCAGACUCCUACGGGAGGCAACAGUGGGGAAUAUUGCACAAUGGGCGGAAGCCUGAUGCAGCAACGCCGCGUGCGGGAUGACGGCCUUCGGGUGUAAACCGCUUUCGCCUGUGACGAAGCGUGAGUGACGGUAAUGGGUAAAGAAGCACCGGCUAACUACGUG
rnacentral:rRNA from 1 species